rnacentral:rRNA from 1 species
CCGUUAGGAGGGAAACGAAUGCGGCUGAAGUUGGCUCCCCGUCAGGCUCAGGAGAGGUCGGUCGGGUCCGGAGGUCGCGCGGUUGCUCGCCGCCGGUCGCCCGGUGCCCGCCGACCGAUCUGCAAUUCUGCGGGGAGCCGGCCAACGGCAGUUGCUCCCGGCCCAGGAGGGCGUCGUGGGUAGGUGGCCCCGCGUCAGCGUGGGGACCUUACAGCCCGACGCCUGGACGUUCCGGGACGCGACUGAGGACAGUUGCGAGUUGUCAUCGCACGGGCAGCGCAGGCUCCGAAAAUUUAUUUUCGGGGCUGGGCCGCUCCGGCCCGGUGGGCGGCUGCGGUGGUCACUGCUCCGUCAGUGGCCUGCCGACGGCGUCUGUCCGCCGGGACGGUGAUCGGUCGCACCCUGCGCUGCGGUCGUUGGUGCCCGAAUGGCCGCAUCCGACCCGUCUUGAAACACGGACCAAGGAGUGCAACAUGCGUGCGAGUCUUUGGGUGGCAAACCCGUGGGCGCAAUGAAAGUGAAGGCAGGUGUUCUGGCCUGCUGUGGCGGGAGCCCUCGCGAGGGGGCGCACCGUCGACCGAUCCCAGGCUACGCUGUGGCGGGAUUUGAGUGAGAGCGUGCCUGUUGCGACCCGAAAGAUGGUGAACUAUGCCUGAA